rnacentral:rRNA from 1 species
UUCUUAUAGCUUUUAUUAUAAGUAAAACCUGCUCACUGCAUAAGUAAACAGCCGCAGAAUUUAAACUGUGCUAAGGUAGCAUAAUCAUUAGUCUUCUAAUUUAAGUCUAGAAUGAAAGGUUCAACAAUUAAAAUCCUUUUUUCAUGUAAUUAUAUUUAAUUUAUAUUAAAAAUUAAAAUAUUUUUAUACAUAAAAAAGACGAUAAGACCCUAUUGAACUUAACUUAAGUUUAGCUGGGGCAGCUAACUAAAUAAAAUCUUAUUUUAAAAUAUAAUAUAAAUGAUCCUAUAAAAUAGAUUAUUUAAACAAGUUACCAUAGGGAUAACAGCGUAAUAAUUUUUAAGAGCUCUUAUCAAAAUAACAGUUUGCGACCUCGAUGUUGAAUAAUUACCUAUAUUAAGCAAAAAUAAUAAAAGGAGGUCUGUUCGACCUAUAAAUAAUUACA